AAAGUAGGACGGUUGAUCGCUGAUAGACAUACUUGGUCUAUUAUGAGGAAAGUCUGGACUCUAAGGGCAGGAUGCUGGUUAACUACCAGAGGGAGCAAUCCUUGAAAAGGGCCAUAGAAAAGAAAACCGCCGAAAGGCAAGGGUGGAACGGUGGGGUAAGAGCCCACCAGUACCAGAGUGAUCUGGUAGCUUGGUAACCUCCAUCUUGAGCAAGGUCAAGCAGGAAGGCCAAAGGUUGCCCGCCGAGAGAGUUUAUCUCCGCCUUCCAGGUAGACCGCUUAGAUUAAUGAUCAACUCUACAGAAUCCGGCUUAUAGUCCUACUUAAUAA
rnacentral:RNase_P_RNA from 1 species